GUCCACGCCCUAAACGAUGCUAACUCGAUUUGGCGAUAUACAGUCAGAGUCCAAGGGAAACCGAUAAGUUAGCCACCUGGGGAGUACGUUCGCAAGAAUGAAACUCAAAGGAAUUGACGGGGUCCGCACAAGCGGUGGAGCAUGUGGUUUAAUUCGAUGAUACGCGAGGAACCUUACCUAGGCUAGAAUGCAAUGCGACUACAAUUGAAAGGUUGUUUCUCUUCGGAGUGGAUUGCAAGGUGCUGCAUGGUUGUCGU
rnacentral:rRNA from 1 species